GAGGGCAGAGCUCGGUGGCGGAGCGCGUGCUUGGCAUGCACGAGGUCCUGGGUUCAAUCCCCGGUCCUUCCU
rnacentral:tRNA from 1 species